AGAUUUCACUCUUCUAAUAUCCUCUCUUUAUCUGCCCUAUACAAUUCUCAUCCUGCUUUGGUACUGUAAGAGCUCGAGGUGGCAUCUUUGUUUGGGUAUGAGGAAAAGCUUAUUGGAUUACUUAAAAUGUCGAACCCGACAUAGGACAUCUAUCCCUUGAUAGGAGAAAAUUCUCAGAAGAGUCAGUGGUGAAGAUUUGUUAUCCAAAUUGGCGUUGUUGUUUAUUUUCAAUGUUACUGAACCUUAGGCGACUGAAGUGACUAUCUUUCUUCCUGAUGCUAAAGCUGAAGUUAGAAAAUCAAAGUUGUCAACUCAGGUUUUAUAUUGGCCUAUAGGAGCAUACUCCAUUAUUGGUUAAUCUAUGUAAUGAAUUUGUGCAAUAUAUUUACGCAAAGUCUCAUCUAUGCGACUGUGAAAGCUUUAAAUCGAAGCAAAUUCUAAAUGGAGAAGUAGGGCUAAAAUUAGUAGCAUGCAAGGGAUGGAAGUUUGGCCAUCACUACCACUUUAAAAGGAUACUACAAACUACUGGACAAGAUACCUAGGUUGAGCUCGGAUGGUAACUCAGUGGUGAGGUGGGAUGGUGGGAAAGCUUCUGGCUAGAAUAUGCUUUGUUUGGAGUUUGUUUCGUAUGAAUAGUGCAACGCCAUCUUCAGAGUCCAAGAGUACCCCUAUAAUGUGGUGUUACAUUAAUUCCAUGGAGUUGAACCAUUUCUCCCUUUCUUGUGGAAAACCUUAAUUGUCAUCUUUCUUUCAAAAUACUAUUUGAGACAUUGCAUUGGGAAUUUUCAGGUGGAACAACCAUCAUGCUUGCAAGCAUGAGCAGAGAAUAAGAUAGUGGUGCUCACUAAAAGCCGAGUGUUGACAGGUAUUGAGCUAACAAUGGGCUUAAGCUCCUUUUGUUGCCUUGAUUUUGAAACACGUAAAUAAUUUUUAUUUGUCAGUAAACAGAAGAUGUUAAGUUCUGCUAGAAUUUGGAGAAAGUUGUGUAGCACGAACUUGAAAACUUAAACCCAGUGAGCAUCCUUUUGGUGGCCAACAUGUGGAUUCAUCUGCCCGAGGAGGGGCUAUGACAGCUGUCUUAUCUCGAGCAUUUUGAUUGUAUGGUAGUAAAUGUAGAUGGUGUCCACAAUGACAAGUCUAUGAUGCUUCCAUUUAUAAGCGCAUUCAAGCUUUGACAAAUGCUAAAAUUGUACGGGAAGUAGAUUGCUGCGCGAUACUCUUGUAAAGGUGCUUAACUGCCUGCAUCUCACAUUUGAAUAUUCAUUGAUGGACCGGUUUAUUCCCUUUGUCAUUGGUGAAGGUGUCAAUUUGUUCCAUAUAAAGUUCAUAUGUAGCUGCUUUGAUUGAUUUUGUUGCCUUUGCUCUCUUUUCCUUUCGUGUUUUUCUGCUUAAUAAGUGAUUGCAGGAAGGCAGGUAAACAAAAUGAUGUAUUACUACGCAACUAUGGUUGUUCAAGUGAAAGAUGCCUACUGCUUGCUGAGUUUUAGUGAUAGUAUUACCACACAUCACAUUCAUCAGCUGGAAGCAUUCAUGCUGAUCAUCUUAUAUAGCGGGGUGUGUUAAUCCAUGGGCUUCAACUCAGAUGGAAGCCAAGAUCGAAGCCAUCGUGAAGACGAGAAAAUUUUGGCUAGGGGUACUUUUGCCCACAAUCUCCUUGAAAACAAGUUGUUAAAUGAGGAAGUUGGCCAAAAGGCAAUUCACAUUUCCACAGGAGAAUUUUAUAAUAUAGAAAGUUUUGUAGUAGGGAGUGGAAGUUGUAAUUGCUAAAAAGGCUUUGAUCGUUUCUUACUACAAUUCACUAAAUUAGAUGGGAGAAUUAGUGUUCUCUUAGCUUCUCAAAUCAGAUAUAUAUGUGUAGAUUAAUUUAGCCAUUAGGAGACCAAAGCUUGGAUUCUCUUCUGCAGUUCCGUCAUUUUGAAUCUUUUUUUUAAUCA